rnacentral:rRNA from 1 species
UACGGAGGAUUCAAGCGUUAUCCGGAUUUAUUGGGUUUAAAGGGUGCGUAGGCGGAUCGUUAAGUCAGUGGUCAAAUUGAGGGGCUCAACCCCUUCCCGCCAUUGAAACUGGCGUUCUUGAGUGGAAGAGAAGUAUGCGGAAUGCGUGGUGUAGCGGUGAAAUGCAUAGAUAUCACGCAGAACCCCGAUUGCGAAGGCAGCAUACCGGUGCACAACUGACGCUCAGGCACGAAAGCGUGGGUAUCGAACAGG